GUCCUGGCUGCAACUCAGUGUUUGACAUCUGAUGGACUCCUCUAUGAUGUGGCGUGUCCUGGUGUAAACGGCGAGCUGCAAUGUCCUCCGGGACAAGUGAUGGAAGUGAAGGCAGUAGAAUCUGGUUUGGAAAGCGAUGCCGACUGCACCGACAGAACAAAGUCCG